AAACAUUUCUAGCUCUUUCUCUCUUUCUUUCCUACGGCUGAAGCAACCAGGGAAGAAUCAAAGAUGUUGGUUCAUCCAAUCUCAGUUGAUUAAUAAAAUUUUAAGGGGAAUUGGAAGCUAGAAACUAGAGGUAAAAGAAAGGCUAAGGAUGAAUAACAGUGAGUCCAGAGCUCAGGGAUGAUUAUACAUGUCAAGAUGGUGCGACCUGGAGAGUUUGGUCACGAGACAAUUUGGACUUCAUUUUGUAAUAGUUUUGCGGCAUGUUUGUAAAGUUUAUUUUGAAAAUGAAUAUAAGUUUUAAAAGCAAAAUUCUAACUUUUUUAUGGAUAUAUAUAUUUAUAAAAGAUUAAAUUUGUCACAAUAUU